GGAGAAUGCGGAAGUGACGCGUGUCGUGGGGCAACCGACAAUUCCAAACACUGAAUAGUUCCAGCACUGAACCCUAUUCAUUUCAGUGUUUCUCAAGCACACUUGCUGAGCUGACAUGUGAAACCAUGGGAGACUGACUUUGAUGACCUAGUAAGCCAGUUAUCUACAAAUGAUCCAAAAAGCAAUAAGGAGAUUGCUUGUCACCAGGCACAUUCACAUGGUGUUGCCUAGCAGUGGUCACGAGUGGAGGGAACUGCUGAAAUGUUGCUAAGGAUUAACCCGAUUCCUGAUGGAAUCUGGAAUGCAAGGGGUGUGGCCGGUGUGGUCUAGCAGACUCUGCUUUAAGAUGUUUGCACACCAGAGCCGAUGUGAUAAUGUGAAACGAAUUGCAGACGAGGUGACUGAUUGCCGUUAACACAUUUAUGAUCGGUGUCUCUAAUGGACAAGCAGUUUUACCCCGGUACGGUAGAUGGCGCAAAGCACAUUUCAACUGGUCUGCCCUUCGCCCAUCACAGAUGAGAAGAACUACUUGUCAAGUUUGCAAAACAACCAUGAAAUCACAAUAAGAAAGAAAAGCAAGUGAUUUCUCUAACGAGCAGAUCAAAAGAAUAAAACAGAUGUGGUUGAAAUGACAAAGAAAACAUUCGAGACACUUUCACAAACUAUUUCAGUUCACCUGCUGGACAAGCUGACUGGCAGUAUUAUCAUGUAUACACAGUCUGAGGGGUGAAUAGAAAGAAUCGAGGGUAAAAAAUGGUUUAACAGUUAAAACAUGCUAUCAUUUGGAACAAUAUUAAUUAUAUGCCACUGCCAUGCAUACUGUAUGUGCUAUGUACAUUUGUUUGAAAUCACUGCGUAAUGCAGUCACAUGUUAAAACAAAUGCUGUCUUUUGGAACAAUACUGAUUGUAUCUUAUUGCCAUGUAUAUCUACUUGUUAUACAUUUGCUCAAACCUGCAUGCUACGAAUUAAACGUGACGACAUCCAAACCCAAAACCCAUUUUCAGACUGACCCAUUAUUAGAUACUUUACUGUUAAUGACAGUAUAGCUGUUAACAACUGUUAACAAAAGCACAGCAGUAACAAUCACAUAAUUUUGUGGAGAAACCACCAAGUUUUUGGUGUACACAGAGUGCACUGCAAAUCACACUAUUAAUAUUAAUAUUAUUAAUAUUUGGUGAAGAAAAACACUUAAGAUUCGUAAAGUUGUUUAUUAAAAAAGUGAUACAAAGGCAAACAUUCCGCAAUAUUUUAUUAGAGAAAUAAGAUAACUCACAUUUACAUGUUAAGA